rnacentral:lncRNA from 1 species
GUGACCAACUCCAGAGUAUUCUGCUGUCGAGAAUGUCUCUGAUGGAAUAUAGGUAUAAGUGUCCCUUAGACUUGAGAUCGCCUCAGUGACUUGCAAGCAACUCACUGUGCUUUGGUACUGGACUAACUAAAUUUCUAAUUCAGAGAUGGAAGGUUUCUGGGUACAGUCAAGUACUUGCGAAGUCAGAGUGUGAUCGAGAUGGGAUUGACCACUCCAAGAGUUGGAGAAGAAUGAGUCGCUGUAUUUCAAUUUAGCAAAACCUUGG